GGAGAGGUGUCCGAGUGGUUUAAGGUGCGGAUCUCGAAAGUCUGUGUGGGGUAACCCACCGAGGGUUCGAAUCCCUCCCUCUCCG
rnacentral:tRNA from 1 species